rnacentral:lncRNA from 10 species
CAGCCCCAACACAUUUUUUUGAAGUUGUAUUUUUUAAAGUUUUACUUUUUUUCUUGCUCUCCUGCAGUUCACAUUCAAUACUUUUUUUUUUUUUUUUUGAGACGGAGUCUCAUUCUGUCGUCUAGGCUGGAGUGCCGUGGCUUGAUCUCGGCUCACUGCAACCUCCACCUCCCAGGUUCAAGUGAUCCUCCUGCCUCAGCCACCCCAGUAGCUGGAAUUACAGGGGCCCACGACCACACCCAGCUGAUUUUGUAUUUUUAGUAGAG